UUUUGGAUCUCAAGGUCUAGUUAAUUGAGUGAAAAAUAUCGUUUUCGUAUUUAAGUGUCAAUUGCUAAAACUAUUUAUAGUCUAGUUUUACUCAUACAUUUGUGAGACUUGUAUUUAAGCCGUGGAGCACACUGGACGCUGCGACCCGCAUAGUUGUUCAGCGGAAACAGAUAGAAGAGUAAAAAAGUCGAAACUGGCUACAUAAUUGAAAAUGCCUAAAAUAACGAAGGGAACCGGGCUUGGGUUUGAGCUUAGAGCGACGCAUGUCGACUGAAAUACCUUUUAGAUUUAUUUUUUAAUGGUACGACGUGUCCUUGAAUGAUUAAAGUAAUGAUGUUAGUAAUGAUAUUAAUGAUUGAGAGCGGUAGAGAUUUAAAUUUCGAAUAAAUUUGUUUUUACUUUGGAAAAUAUCUAUAUAAUGAUAGUGAAUACUUUAGAAUUAAUAAACAAUAAAAGGCUUAAUUGCGUUUUCUGUUAGAUGUUUAGUGAGAAAACAAAAUUUAAAGUCCUUCAUUUAAUACAAUUUAUAUUUUAAACAAACUAAA